rnacentral:rRNA from 1 species
GACAUAGGUCGCAAACGUUAUCCGGAAUUACUGGGCGUAAAGCGUGCGCAGGCGGUCUGCUAAGAGAGGUGUGAAAUCCCCGGGCUUAACCUGGGAACUGCGCUUCUAACUGGCAGGCUUGAGUGUGGCAGAGGGGGGUGGAAUUCCACGUGUAGCAGUGAAAUGCGUAGAUAUCUGGAGGAACACCGGUGGCGAAGGCGGCGUCCUGGACCAAUACUGACACUGAAACGCGAAAGCCAGGGGAGCAAACGGG